UACGUAGGGUGCGAGCGUUGUCCGGAAUUACUGGGCUUAAAGGGCGCGUAGGCGGGCUGUCAAGUCUGGGGUGAAAUGCUGCGGCUCAACCGUAGAACUGCCUUAGAUACUGACGGCCUUGAGGAAGGUAGGGGCAUGCGGAACUGUAGGUGGAGCGGUGAAAUGCGUUGAUAUCUACAGGAACUCCGGUGGCGAAAGCGGCGUGCUGGACCUUUUCUGACGCUGAGGCGCGAAAGCGUGGGUAGCAAACAGG
rnacentral:rRNA from 1 species